rnacentral:rRNA from 1 species
UACAGAGGGUGCAAGCGUUGUUCGGAAUUAUUGGGCGUAAAGGGCGCGUAGGCGGUUCGGCAAGUCUUCAGUGAAAUCUCUGGGCUCAACUCAGAGUCUGCUGGGGAAACUGCCGGGCUUGAGUGUGGGAGAGGAGAGUGGAAUUCCUGGUGUAGCGGUGAAAUGCGUAGAUAUCAGGAGGAACACCUGAGGCGAAAAGCGGCUCUCUGGACCACAACUGACGCUGAGGCGCGAAAAGCUAGGGGAGCGAACAGG